GGUGCUAUCGUCUAGUGGUAGGACAAUACGUUGUGGUUUGUAGGCUAGAUACAGCCUAAGGCAACAUCCGUGUAAACGGCGGUUCGAUCCCGUCUGGCGCCA
rnacentral:tRNA from 1 species